AGCGAACGCUGGCGGCAGGCUUAACACAUGCCAGUCGAGCGGGCACUUCGGUGUCAGCGGCGGACGGGUGAGUAACACGUGGGAACGUACCCUUUGGUUCGGAAUAACGCUGGGAAACUAGCGCUAAUACCGGAUACGCCCUUUUGGGGAAAGGCUUGCUGCCGCAGGAUCGGCCCGCGUCUGAUUCGCGAGUUGGUGGGGUAAUGGCCUCCCAAGGCGGCGAUCAGUAGCUGGUCUGGGAGGAUGAUCAACCGCGAUGGGGAUGAGACACGGCCCACACCCCGACGGGGCGGAGGAGUAGGGAAUAUUAGAGAAGGGGCGCAAGCGUGAUCCAGCCAUGCCGCGGGAGUGAGGAAGGCCGUAGGGUUGUAAAGCUCUUUUGGCCGGGACGAGAAUGACGGUACCGGAAGAAUAAGCCCCGGCUAACUUCGUG
rnacentral:rRNA from 1 species